UACAGAGGCCCCAAGCAUUAUCCGGAAUCACUGGGCGUAAAGGGUGUGUAGGCGGCGCUGUUAGUCCUUCGUAAAAGCAUUUGGGCUCAACCCAGAUAAUGCGGAGGAAACGGCAGUGCUUGAGGACGCGAGAGGUUAAGGGAACUCAUGGUGUAGGGGUGAAAUGCGUAGAUAUCAGGGGGAACACCAAAUGCGAAGGCACUUAACCGGCGCGCUACUGACGCUGAGACACGAAAGCGUGGGUAGCGAACGGG
rnacentral:rRNA from 1 species